AAGAAUAACACCAACUUGGAAUGACACUCGUUAGAUUUGGCACGCAAACUAACUGAUACGGGGUGAAGAGUAGGGAGUGUUUGAGUGUUUGUUAUUUUCAUUCCUUUAUUUUCACGAGAGAUCCAGGAGACACGGACACUUGUUGAGUCCUUGGGAGGAGUCCUUGAACUGAACUGUGUCUGUGUUUGUCCUGACGCCCUACUACGAACUUUCAUCCUCAUCCCCCACCACACCUGCGGUGGCCAUCAACUGGAAAAUAACUCUGUUGCAACUGCUACUCAAAACCAACUGUCAUGCAGUAUUGUCUGUGAUGUUGUGCCAAGCAGAGGGAGG
ensembl:lncRNA